CUGCCCAAGGGUUCGGGAUAACCCCGGGAAACUGGGGAUAAUACCGGAUGGAUCACUAGUGCUGGAAUGCUUGGUGGUUUAAAGGUAACGCCUUUGGAUGGGUCUGCGGCGGAUUAGGUUGACGCCGGUGUAACGUACCGGCGUGCCUGUAAUCCGUACGGGUUGUGGGAGCAAGAGCCCGGAGAUGGAUUCUGAGACACGAAUCCAGGCCCUACGGGGCGCAGCAGGCGCGAAAACUCUACAAUGCAGGCAACUGCGAUAGGGGGACAUCGAGUGGCAUCCACCUUGGGUGCCUGUCCAACCGUCUAAAAAACGGUUGUUAGCAAGGGCCGGGUAAGACCGGUGCCAGCCGCCGCGGUAAUACCGGCGGCUCGAGUGGUGGCCGAUAUUAUUGAGUCUAAAGGGUCCGUAGCCGGCUUUGCAAGUCCCCUGGGAAAUCCAGCGGCUUAACCGUUGGGCUUUCAUGGGAUACUACAUUGCUUGGGACUGGGAGAGGUAGGAGGUACUCGGGGGGUAGGGGUGAAAUCCUGUAAUCCUCCGGGGACCACCGGUGGCGAAGGCGUCCUACCAGAACAGGUCCGACGGUGAGGGACGAAAGCUAGGGGCACGAACCGGAUUAGAUACCCGGGUAGUCCUAGCCGUAAACGAUGCCCGCUAGGUGUCACGACGGUCGUGAAUCGUCGUGGUGCCGUAGGGAAGCCGCGAAGCGGGCCACUUGGGAAGUACGUCCGCAAGGC
rnacentral:rRNA from 1 species